rnacentral:tRNA from 1 species
GCCUCGGGGUGUAGCGGUUAGCACUCUGGACUUUGAAUCCAGCAAGGCCUUCUCCGUCCACUAGGGCUUUUUAUGUGUGCGUCGGUGGUACUGUGGUUAGGACUCUCGCCGACUAUGCACAUGCUCCGGGGUUCGACCCCCCGCCGACGCA